CAAAAUAAACCCCAAACUGUAUCUCCUGAGGGUACCUUCCUGGCCCCAGAAGGGGAAAUACUCUGCUGAUACGAACACAAACAUUGUAUUAGCCUAGACAAAGGAAGAAAUCAUGCAGAAUCCAUUAAAGCAGCCACAAGUAAUGAAUCUGGUUAGUUUUUAUGUGUUAAUUGUACUUCUGUUAAAUUCUUUUAGAGACCAGGAUAAGUUUAUGGGUUCUAUCCUCAUUUAAUGAUAAUUCUGCUAUUCCUAUCUUACAGGAAAGAUGUUCAGAACAUUGUGCAAGUGGAGCUAUUUUCCCCGUGAGCUACUUAAGAAAAAACACAUGAAAAAACCAUGCAGAAUAUCAGUAUUUACUUGUGCUCAUGAAGAGGUGCUCAUGCUUCAUCCUUUCCAGCUAGGCAAAGAAAUUUGUUGAAUUCUACCACGUAUUAUUCCAAGACAUUUAGAGCAGAUUAAAGGUAAAGCAUAGACCUGUAGAAACUCAUAUUUCCUAUGGAAUGUUAAACAGAAUUGUCUCCAUUUGUAAUAGAUAAACUGUACUAAUCACCCUGGUGUAAAAUACAAAGAGGUCAACAAUGCAUCCCUUCAGCUCACCAUUAUUUAAAAGGUGUUUGAGUUUCCCUAUUAAGUUUUCAAAGGCCAACAUCUGCUGAUGCUCAGAAAUGGCGGAUGUGGUGAGGAAGGCUGUAUGGAGUGUGAAGUGAAAACACAACCAUAUAUUCCAUGCAACACAGUACUAGGAAACUAUAGCACAACCAGACUCCAAAGAGCUAUUUUCCCAUUCAUCCCAUUUCUGUUAUUGACGGCAGGAAUAUUCCUGAGAACAGCGAUGCAAACUUCUCUUUCAUUUAGUUCAUUUUUUGGUUACAAAAUACAUGUAUAAACAGCAGAUUUUGAAAACAGCAUAUCACUAUGCAUUUGCAGUCAUGCAAACGCCAAAGGAGACACUACAGUGGGAAAAUUACGUUAUUAAGAUUGAAGGCUUUCAUUUGCAUGUUAUUGUCCUUGCUGCUGUUUCACUGUUUAAAGCCACAAACCAGAUGCCCUGGCACUCGGCUGCUAACGCCGCUCUUGUUUGCACGGAGGCUAGUUUUGACGGCGUUUAACUUGCUGUCUACAGCUUAACAAAUCAGCGCCAUUCAUGAGCUUAAGUAAACUGAGCUGAUUUAUAAAUUGAUAGACCUGACCCUGCAUCAUAAGAAGUGAGAUAGUUUUACCCAAGUUAUUAGAAGCUUUUCAGCUGGAUAUCAGCACCAUGUUCUUUUUGACCCAGUCCUGCCUAGGACCAGGAAGUGCAGCUGUCAAUAACUUCCCUUGGAUAAUAUGAACGUGUCCUAGAAUAGUGAAGCAUGUGUGUCUGCCCUCGCUGUCCCCCUUCAACGUUUGCAGUGAUCUACAAGAGCGCAUGUGAAUCUGGACCGCAGGUCAAUGUCAGCUUUCUUAAAUGUACAAAAAAGGAGCACGGACCUCAUCACACACACUGAGCUGAGGUUAUUUCGAACGUCAGGGCAACAGGAUGUUUGAAUGGAGAGCUGCCAGCACCACGGCUGGAGCAGGA